rnacentral:rRNA from 1 species
GAUCAUGGCUCAGGAUGAACGCUAGCUACAGGCUUAACACAUGCAAGUCGAGGGGCAUCAGGAAGAAAGCUUGCUUUCUUUGCUGGCGACCGGCGCACGGGUGAGUAACACGUAUCCAACCUACCCUUUACUCGGGGAUANCCUUUCGAAAGAAAGAUUAAUACCCGAUGGCAUAAUGAUUCCGCAUGGUUUCAUUAUUAAAGGAUUCCGGUAAAGGAUGGGGGAUGUGUUCCAUUAGGUUGUUGGUGAGG